AAAAACAGCCUCGGCAGGGUUAUCUGGAAGAGGCACAAGGAAAGUCGGUGCAGGGACCUGAGUUUUCUGAUCAGUGACUUUGGAGAUAACUAAAGCCCAUUCUCCCUACCCGACCUCCACUGCCACCACUCCAAGCCGGAGGGUCCACCCUUACCUGCUGCUGAAGGUAAUCCAAUGAGAGAGUCAAAGAGUCCCAACCCCGGCGACCGAAGUGCUAUUAAGAGGCGGAGGUAGGAAGCGGAGAGAAGGCGCAGGAGCAGCAGGAAGUCUUUAGGUCCCCAGUUAAACCUCUGAAGUGUCCUGCGCUUGCCUCCUACUUUUAUAGGAGCUCAGCGGGGGCGGGGCUUGCUGGGGGUUCCACUGCGGCCGCCGCGGGCGCUGCUGCUGCUGCUGUUAGUGCAAUCAUUUCCCUCUCUUCCUUUUGCGCCCUGCGUCGAGGGCGCCAACACUCAUAACGUUUCCUGCCUCAGCCCCCCCCUCCCCGUGUAAGGCUAUCCUCUGGGUUAGGGUACGGUAGGCAGCAAGGGGACGUUCACCCAGUGCUUCCACAGCACCCAGGCUGCAAAAAUUAUCACUGAUGGCAGGGGGAGGGGCCUGCGCGUGCCAACUCUCUCCCCCACCAAAUCAUCUCCUUUUGGAGCCCCUGCCUACGCUGAUGCCCCGGCGAGAUCCUAGCCCCCAGCCCAGGUGACUUGGCUAGCCCACAGAAAUCGAGGAUUCAAGGCCGCUGGAACUCUCCUUGAGUCUCCCUCUCAUCUCACCUGCAAGGCUCCUGUUCUAGGAAGGAGCUGUCUGGAGAAGCACUUGAACUCGGCCUCAGGCGUGAAAGGAACUGGUUGGCCUCUGGCCAAGAAACUCCUGACUUCUGUUGGAACCCAAAGCCUUCCCCUUGAGGUAAGGACGAGAAGGGCAGCAAAGCGAAUACGCCGUUGCCUGGUCGAGAGCCUCUCCCGGUGGGCUGCGGCUGGGGCUGCGUCUCUGUGA
rnacentral:lncRNA from 1 species